rnacentral:rRNA from 1 species
GGUUUAAUUCGAUGAUACGCGAGGAACCUUACCCGGGCUUAAAUUGCAGAUGAAUUACGGUGAAAGCCGUAAGCCGCAAGGCAUCUGUGAAGGUGCUGCAUGGUUGUCGUCAGCUCGUGCCGUGAGGUGUCGGCUUAAGUGCCAUAACGAGCGCAACCCUUGUUGUCAGUUACUAACAGGUUCUGCUGAGGACUCUGACAAGACUGCCAUCGUAAGAUGUGAGGAAGGUGGGGAUGACGUCAAAUCAGCACGGCCCUUACGUCCGGGGCUACACACGUGUUACAAUGGGGGGUACAGAGGGCCGCUACCACGCGAGUGGAUGCCAAUCCCAAAAACCCCUCUCAGUUCGGACUGGAGUCUGCAACCCGACUCCACGAAGCUGGAUUCGCUAGUAAUCGCGCAUCAGCCACGGCGCGGUGAAUACGUUCCCGGGCCUUGUACACACCGCCCGUCAAGCCAUGGGAGCCGGGGGUACCUGAAGUGCGUAACCGCGAGGAUCGCCCUAGGGUAAAACUGGUGACUGGGGCUAAGUCGUAACAAGGUAGCCGUACCGGAAGGUGCGGCUGGAACACCUCCUUU